rnacentral:rRNA from 1 species
GGGGAAUCUUCCGCAAUGGACGAAAGUCUGACGGAGCAACGCCGCGUGAGUGGUGACGGCCUUCGGGUUGUAAAGCUCUGUUAAUCGGGACGAAAGGCCUUCUUGCGAAUAGUUAGAAGGAUUGACGGUACCGAAAUAGAAAGCCACGGCUAACUACGUGCCAGCAGCCGCGGUAAUACGUAGGUGGCAAGCGUUGUCCGGAAUUAUUGGGCGUAAAGCGCGCGCAGGCGGAUUGGUCAGUCUGUCUUAAAAGUUCGGGGCUUAACCCCGUGAUGGGAUGGAAACUGCCAAUCUAGAGUAUCGGAGAGGAAAGUGGAAUUCCUAGUGUAGCGGUGAAAUGCGUAGAUAUUAGGAAGAACACCAGUGGCGAAGGCGACUUUCUGGACGAAAACUGACGCUGAGGCGCGAAAGCCAGGGGAGCGAACGGGAUUAGAUACCCCGGUAGUCCUGGCCGUAAACGAUGGGUACUAGGUGUAGGAGGUAUCGACCCCUUCUGUGCCGGAGUUAACGCAAUAAGUACCCCGCCUGGGGAGUACGACCGCAAGGUUG